rnacentral:rRNA from 1 species
AGAAUAAGCACCGGCUAACUACGUGCCAGCAGCCGCGGUAAUACGUAGGGUGCAAGCGUUAAUCGGAAUUACUGGGCGUAAAGCGNGCGCAGGCGGUUUUGUAAGUCAGAUGUGAAAUCCCCGGGCUCAACCUGGGAACUGCAUUUGAGACUGNNNGGCUAGAGUNCGGUAGAGGGGGGUGGAAUUCCACGUGUAGCAGUGAAAUGCGUAGAGAUGUGGAGGAACACCGAUGGCGAAGGCAGCCCCCUGGACCNNGACUGACGCUCAUGCGCGAAAGCGUGGGGAGCAAA